rnacentral:rRNA from 1 species
UGGGGAAUAUUGGACAAUGGGGGGAACCCUGAUCCAGCCAUGCCGCGUGUGUGAAGAAGGCCUUAUGGUUGUAAAGCACUUUAAGCGAGGAGGAGGCUCUCUUGGUUAAUACCCAAGAUGAGUGGACGUUACUCGCAGAAUAAGCACCGGCUAACUCUGUGCCAGCAGCCGCGGUAAUACAGAGGGUGCGAGCGUUAAUCGGAUUUACUGGGCGUAAAGCGUGCGUAGGCGGCUUUUUAAGUCGGAUGUGAAAUCCACGAGCUUAACUUGGGAAUUGCAUUCGAUACUGGGAAGCUAGAGUAUGGGAGAGGAUGGUAGAAUUCCAGGUGUAGCGGUGAAAUGCGUAGAGAUCUGGAGGAAUACCGAUGGCGAAGGCAGCCAUCUGGCCUAAUACUGACGCUGAGGUACGAAAGCAUGGGGAGCAAACAGG